GUAGGUGGCAAGCGUUGUCCGGAAUUAUUGGGCGUAAAGCGCGCGCAGGCGGUUCUUUAAGUCUGAUGUGAAAGCCCACGGCUCAACCGUGGAGGGUCAUUGGAAACUGGAGAACUUGAGUACAGAAGAGGAAAGCGGAAUUCCACGUGUAGCGGUGAAAUGCGUAGAGAUGUGGAGGAACACCAGUGGCGAAGGCGGCUUUCUGGUCUGUAACUGACGCUGAGGCGCGAAAGCGUGGGGAGCAAACAGGGAUUAGAUACCCUGGUAGUCCACGCCGUAAACGAUGAGUGCUAAGUGUUAGGGGGGUAUCCGCCCCCCUUAGUGCUGCAGCUAACGCAUUAAGCACUCCGCCUGGGAGUACGGCCGCAAGGCUG
rnacentral:rRNA from 1 species